rnacentral:misc_RNA from 1 species
AAAAAUUAUAGAACCGUUUUGCAAGUUCCUACUUUGUAAGUACAAAUCCCUUCGACCUGAUUAUGCCGCCGCUUCGUGGCUGAUUUUCCAUUGAAUCGCAAAACUCCGAUCCAAGUAUAAUACCCAAAUCGACGCAUCUUAUCUUCUUAAGCUGAUCUCUCCAACUACUCCAUUCUCACAGAACAACCCAAACCCUAGCUCGCUUCAGUUGUCAUCAUCAUGGGUGACUACAACGAUGCCUUCAUGCGCAACCAAAACGCUGCCGUUCGCGGCACCACCAAGGGCCAGAACCGCGCUAAUGUUCUCCAGCUCAAACUGAUUGGGCAAAGCCACCCGACUGGUUUAACAGCUAAUUUGUUGAAACUAUUUGAGCCUCGACCUCCACUGGAUUUUAAACCCCCUCCAGAGAAGAGAAAAUGCC